CAAUCGGUGCUUUUCCACUCUGGAGUUGCGCAAAGCCAACGAGUCAGCACCACCAAAAAAAAAAAAAAAAAAAAAA
rfam:Podiceps cristatus contig74444, whole genome shotgun sequence.